AGACUUAGCACCAAUCUGUAACU
rnacentral:miRNA from 11 species